UUCAACAAAACUCACGAUUUCCCCCAAUCUCUCCUCCUCCCAUCCACCUCACGAUCAUCUCAGGAAGCCGGACUCCGGGAAUCUCUUCUCCAUUUCUCCCUCCGUUGCUAUUUGUUGGAUUCUCUCAUUUUUCUGGUAUUUAUUUGUUGAAUUGUUGAUCUUGUUUGUUGUUUCUACAUAUUAUUUGGGUCUGAUGGUGAUGGAUAUGAAUAUAUGAUACGAUGGUGAAAUUCUGAUGGAGUUUAUUGAUGUUUGAUUUAGUUAGUUGAUUAGUCCUCAUAUGAAGUUAGGUUAUCCGGUCUGCAUAUGAAGUUAGAACUCACAUGUUAAUGUUCUGUUUUUGAAACUCAAAUCCCUAAAAAAAUUCCAAGGAUGUGAAUUUAAUGAUUUUAUAUUGAUUAGAUGUGUUGUUAAACAAAUGGAGAGUACAAAAAAAAUAAAACUUACAGAUAUGCCAAAUUGUCAAAUUCUCCAAUGCUGGAUCCUGGAUGGAAUCAUACCAGACAUUCUAGUGUUUCUUAAAAUCCUAUUAUCAUUCAAACACAGCUAAAAUAUAAGUAUUAUGUAAAUCAAAAAAAUAUAGAUAGAUCAUAUAUAGAUAAAUCUUUCUUACAAUGUACCCAGAGACUAAAUAUUCUUGAUAAAAUUUAAAUAUGAGGUUUCACCUACAUAUCACCCAAUCUCCUGCAGAUGUCUAUUUUUUUUAUACAGAUGCUUCUGAAUUUUUUUAGGUUGACUACGCUUGCCGCUUGCGUGUUAAUUAGGGAUUUGACAUUUCAUUUGUCGGAAGCUUAAAAAGAUCUUCAAUACUAAGGUAACAAGGUUCUAUUACUUUUUAUUUUUAGAAUCGAUAGAUUUAUAAUUUUAUGCAUUAUUUCUUAUAUAAUUUUAUAUUUCGAUUUAAGAAUGUAGGAUUGUAUUCUUAGAUUUAAGGUAAAUCUUAUUUCUUAAAUUACAGAUGGAAAAAUAUUUUAAAAAGACAACUCCUUCUCCACAACCACAAGAAAAUAUUUCAGAAACAAGUAAAAGAAAACGAUUAUCUAUUAUUCCUAAACCAUUAGCUUCUGAUGAUCUUCCUUCUGAUCCAGCAUUAAGAAAGAAGAUGUCAAUGUAUAAUAUCAAUGAGAUUGAUGAUAUUAGAAGGAAGUAAAUUCAAAAAGGUUCUUGUCAACCAAAAACACACUUAUUUUCGCAAACUUGGUGUUAGGGGCUUAUAAGUAGGUGUUAGGGGAAGGUAUACAAAUGUGAAUCCACGUCUCCAAAUGAUGUGUUGUCUUGUCUUCAUUUGACUGGUGACAUCUGCAGUUAAAUCAUCAUUCUUUUUUGGGUUGACAUCUGUGUUAAAAAAAGUAACGACAGCUUUUAUCCAUACUAUGAAAAACCGUGUCAUCCUUGGUUUGAUGAGCUUGGGAAGAACCUUUGGAAUAAAAACCACUGCAAAGUGCGAACCUAGAUUUUCAUUCUCACUUACUCGUCCAAUUGUAUUUCUCUAUUUUCACCCACACAACAAAUAAAACAAACAUGGGGAACAUAAAGAUUGAGUUGAGAAUCAGGCAUCGUCUAAAGGCAUGUAUGAUUUGUAUUGUAAGCUAUUUUAUUAUUUUGAACACAUUUAGUACAUCCGUCUUUUUCCUCUAAUCUUCUCCUUCACUGAAACCCCACUCCUGCUAAUACUCAAUGGUGAUACAGUAUCCCGAAUCUGGUCAAAAUGAAUCUAUUUCAAGGUUUGGUUUGUUUAAUAACCGAACCGAACCCGAACCGAACCCGAACCAAACCCAAAACGAACCGAAUAGUUCGCCGCAUACCGAACUUUUGUUGCAACGCUACUCCCAAAAGACUUUCGAAUACAGAAUUUUCUCAUGUUGCAUCUCUGAAGAGGAAGCAAUUGCCGACAUCUUCUAAUGACAUACUAUUUGAAGUCGUUGACCUGUCCCGGUAAUUAUUAUUUAUUUUAAUGGGAGUGUACAUCAAGUGCACACAAAAAAUCACUACAAAAAACCAGCGAUAUUCUGGCGACAAAUGCCAGUAAAAUGCGUCCUGGUGGCCAAGCCGACGGUAUUUCAUCGCCGGAAAUAAUGUCGCAGAAUUGUAAUUUACUGACGGUAAGGCUACCGGCAAUCAAUUGUGGAUUCCGUUUUUAACAGAAAUGGUCCCGACGGUUAGGCCGCUGGUCAAUAUUUCCCGGCAGAAAAAAAAUUCCCCGAGAAAAAAAUUCUGGCGGCCAAGCCGCUGGUUCUCAAUGGAAUUUUUUAAUUGUAUUUUUUUUUAUUAAUUUUUUUUAUUUGAAAUAUUAUUUUAUUUAAAUAAUGAAAUGUAAUAGAAAUAUAUUUAUAUAAUUGAAAUUGUAUGAAAUUAAUAAAUUGAAAUUGAAAUUGAAAAUGAUGUUCGAUAUUGAAAGUAUGACAGAAAUUAAAUUUGGUAAUUACAAUUUUAAUUUAUAUUUUUUGCUUUUUUUUUUUUAGUUCUGACCACCUUUCGUAAUGCCUCUGUUAUGAAAAUAAUUGAUCUUCCUUCACGCGGUUGUGAAGUAGUGUGCUCCUCUUGUGGCAUUGUAUGUGGAAGAGGCGUAGUUUCGUACAGUUCUACUUGAGGUGCUUUAGAAGUCGAGAUUUCAGAAGAAUUUAUGUUGAACCCUCCCGCGGGUUGCGCCGUAGUUUCGUUGAAGAAUGUGGGAAAUUCUGGUAAGCGCAUGUUCGGAUUUUGAGCGAGUAUUGCCGCAUUGUAUUGUUGUAAGAACUUCAUUUGACGAGCCAUCGCUUCAUUCUGACGAGCCAUCGCUUCAUUCUGACUAGCCAUUGCCCUCUCGACUGUCUCGUUAACCUUAUUAUCAACCUCAUCUUCGGCCAUAGAACCUUUUCCUUUAUCUGUUGAAAAGUUCCCCACAUUCAUCCGAUGGGUUGUCUUCUUGCUCAAUGAAGAACCAGUUGUUCCUAAUAAUCUAGUUUUCUUCGAGCUUCUAUCGAUAUGUUCGGUUAUAGCAAAGUUGAUGAGAGCCUAAUUAAAUAAAAAAUGAUGAAAAAAAUGUAAAAUACUUUAAUUAAUUAUAUGGAAAAAAAUGAAAUACCAUGACCGUUAUAUUUUCUUGUUCAACCUUAUUUUUCGUUUCUUCACUUUCUAUCCAUUGAAUCGC
rnacentral:lncRNA from 1 species